rnacentral:rRNA from 1 species
AGGCGCUUGAGAGAACUCGGGUGAAGGAACUAGGCAAAAUGGUGCCGUAACUUCGGGAGAAGGCACGCUGGCGCUAGGUGAAGUGGUUUACCCAUGGAGCUGAAGCCAGUCGCAGAUACCAGCUGGCUGCAACUGUUUAUUAAAAACACAGCACUGUGCAAACACGAAAGUGGACGUAUACGGUGUGACGCCUGCCCGGUGCUGGAAGGUUAAUUGAUGGGGUUAUCCGUAAGGAGAAGCUCUUGAUCGAAGCCCCAGUAAACGGCGGCCGUAACU